rnacentral:rRNA from 1 species
GUAGUCCACGCUGUAAACUAUGAUCACUCGUUGUUGGCAAUACAUCGUCAGCGACUGAGCGAAAGCAUUAAGUGAUCCACCUGGGGAGUACGGUCGCAAGAUUGAAACUCAAAGGAAUUGACGGGGGCCCGCACAAGCGGAGGAACAUGUGGUUUAAUUCGAUGAUACGCGAGGAACCUUACCUGGGCUUAAAUGCAGAACGACGUCCCGAGAAAUCGGGAUUCCCUUCGGGGCGGACUGCAAGGUGCUGCAUGGUUGUCGUCAGCUCGUGCCGUGAGGUGUCGGGUUAAGUCCCAUAACGAGCGCAACCCUUAUCGUUAGUUGCCAGCGGGUCAUGCCGGGGACUCUAACGAAACUGCCGGUGUAAACCGAGAGGAAGGUGGGGAUGACGUCAAAUCAGCACGGCCCUUAUGUCCAGGGCUACACACGUGUUACAAUGGUCGGUACAAAGGGCAGCUACCUGGUAACAGGAUGCAAAUCUCAAAAACCGAUCUCAGUUCGGAUUGGAGUCUGCAACUCGACUCCAUGAAGCUGGAUUCGCUAGUAAUCGCGCAUCAGCCAUGGCGCGGUGAAUACGUUCCCGGGCCUUGUACACACCGCCCGUCAAGCCAUGGAAGCCGGGGGUACCUGAAGUCUGUAACCGCAAGGAGCGGCCUAGGGUAAAACUGGUGACUGGGGCU